rnacentral:lncRNA from 1 species
UUCAAAUCACAAUACUCAAUGAAAUAGAAGUAAGAACAAAUAUUUAUUGAAUGUAAAGAAUGUAAAAUCCUUGAGGGAGAACCCUUAUUUAUCCUAAUUACAAAAUAUUGGGCUAAGCCCAACAAAACAAAUCUAAAAAAUAGGAAUAUAAUAUGACUUCUUUUGGUCCUUCAAUUGUUCUUCGUAUAGCCUCAACACCGAAUUCAAUCUUCUUGCACCCAAUCUCUACUCUUUUUUUGCUUUAAUUCAUCCAAACUGCACCAUAGCUAAAAACACUCGUUCAACUCGAACAAAGAGAAAUAAAAGCUAAAAAUAAUCCUACAGUCCUAAUUAUGUCCUAAAAUGCAAGUUAAAUGUAAUGCAUAUGUAGUAUAAUUUCUCACUGAUCAAUGUACGUGUAUAUUAUCACAUAGAGAAUAGAGAAUAUACACGCACAUUGAAACUAGAAAGUUCAGGCAGUGAUCCAUCACGUAUAGCCCAUAUACGCAUAUCACAAAUCAGAGGACAUCACACAAAUACAAAAAAAAAACAACUAGCAACAGAAGGCCAACCCUCGAAGAGCAAAGACUAGGAUCAUAUUCACAGGUAAGUUAAUCAUCCCUUUACUUACAUAAUUGCAAGAAAAAACACAUUUGUUAUCCAUUUAGUAUCACAAACAUAAAAAAAUAACAUACAUUCAGUAAGCAUGUUUAUAAGCAGUUUGUUAAUUGACAAAAUAAAUUUUACCUCAUGUCGGCAUCAUCUCCUUUGAAAAUUCCCUACUCGGCUUAGCCUUCACUAACCUUGCAGUGGUUCCAAGGCGUAAUUCCUGAUCCAAUGUCAAUACCGACAUUACUCUUUUUUUGUACCCUUCAAGAGCUUGAACCAACUCAUUCCACCAUAGAGGAGAGUACCGAAAUCCUCCAUAUCCAUGUAUUACCCAUAUGAAAGAACUCAUUGGUUUCAUCAAAGCAGAACACAUUCACUGAAACAUCUUUCAAAAAAAAUCAAUACGUCAAACCACCAUAGCCACCACGCUUGAACCGCGAAGGAUGAGAAGAGAGAAGAUGGCCAUACCUUGCUCAUCACCUUCGCCCAAACGGCUAGCCCCACACUUGAACCGCGAAUCACCAUAGAGGAAAUAUUAAAAAACGAACCGUGAAUCACCCUUGAGCUUGAUCCCUUUCUAGAGAAAGAGGGAAUGAAAUUAGGGAUUUGUUUCCCUUUUCCUUAGAUGGCACGAAGAUAUGGAGUUAUUACCCUAUUUCAUAAAAC